CGAAACACGUUUCGGCUGUCCGUCGGAGACGAAAGUGAAUGCGUGCAUGCAAAGAUGGGUCCUUUCUGGUAAGCAGAACUGAUAAUGAGGGAUGAACCUAACGCACGGUGCGUAAGGGGCCAAAGAGACAGCUAUUUCUCGAAACCAUUGSAAARGUGUUGCUUGCUGAAGACAGCACGACGGUGGUCAUGGAAGUCGAUAUCCGCAUAAGGAGGUGUGUAACUACUCAUCCUGCCGAACCGAGUAACCCUGAAAAUGGAUGGCUCUACAGCUCUCUCCCGAUGCACGGCCGUCAGUAGCACUUGAGUCACCUCGUGUCUCUACGCUCUGACRAGUARAAUGGUUGUGUUGCAUUGCGUUGAASUCUUUCGCGUGAUCGUGASACGGAGCAUGCAGCAGUACAGAUCUUGGUGGUAGUAGCAAGUACUCUGGUGAAUAACCUUGAGCUAUGAGGUUGAUAAGGGUUCCAUGUCAACAGUGCUUGUACAUGGGUAAGUCGGUCCUAAGCUCCCACUAUACCCUAGUGGUGUGGGCGUUCGCAGUUGAAAGGCUAUACGAGUGCCCUGCUUUGCCGUUGCGCUGCGGCGUGUGCUCCCUAGUGAUGCUCCGUCUGCGCGGCUGCUUCGUUGUGUGUUAGGGGGGGAAGAAUGGCUGCUGUCGUGCCUGGCCACUGUGCCGACACGACUGGCCACCGUAACCCGCACGCACAGCAAGCACCGCGUGCACGAGCACAACUACGCACAGUCGCGCGCGUGGCCUGAGAUGUCUUCCCGUGUGAGAACGGUUGCGCUUCUCUACUAUAGUGAGCGCAUUGGCCUAGUAUACGCGGGGCGGACGGAACAGUGCGAGUGSUACGCCKUGCGUCGCSUGGCGAAAGGGAAUUACGGACUCAGUUCGUAAACCACACCUGGUACCYUGAGAUGGUUCACCGUUUCAUGGACUUGGCAACAACCAGCCAGGCCAGUCGGUGUCACGAGCAGCUUGGUAUGGAGAUUUCUUUUCUAUUUGAUAUAGACACGCAACCUGAAAGCACCCAGCGUGGCGGAAGGUUGACGCUSUCUAUCAGAGUACUCUCCCCCUUGAGUAUUGAUGGAAUGCUGCUUGUGACCCGUGAAAAGGUGGUCGAGGGGUCAGUCUGCGAUGUGCUUGCACGCUUGCUCACGUGGUGACGCGUGGGCUGUGCGAGUAUGUCCUGACGCUACACACGAGUGUUGACCAGGCCGUGGCCGUACCCAUAUCCGCAUCUGGUAUCAAAGGUUUGAAGCCUCUGUGGUGUAUGACAC
rnacentral:rRNA from 1 species